CAUCAGAAAUCAAAGAUCACUAAACUUCAGCUACCGCAAUACCUGGUAAUUUCUUUCUAGAACAUAGGCAUAAGUAUGACAACACUACUCCGUAGGUGCCCAUGAAACUCUAUAUACAGACAAAACAAAAGGACAUCCAUCAGGACACGGGCAGGUCAUGUCAGCAGCCUAUGGCUACCCCACAGUGGGGAGACAGGCUGUUCUUGUCACCACAGAGCUAUGCAUCUUCACAGCAGUUGCUAAAGUGAAGGUCUUUUAUUGAACCACGUAUGUACCAAACACGCUAACGCAACAGAAAACACGCCUGUGAAUAAAUCUAGAAUAAUUUUGUAAAAAGGUCUUCUGUUAGGACAAGCUACUCACAAAAACUUCAAAAGCAGAAUCUACUGAACUCUCUCUGAAUAUCUCACUUCUGGGCCAGGUCAGGACAGACCAGCAGUUCUCAAAGUUCUGAGACUCCUAGGACCCUUUCAGGGGUCCACGGUCAAAACUGUUUUCCUGAUAACAGGAAUGUGCCAUCUGCCUUCCCCACUCUCACUCUCCCAUGAGCGUAGUACAGUGGGGUUUUCCAGAGGCUGUAUGACAGAGAACAGUGAAACAGGUGAAUGCCGAAGCAGAUCUCCUGAGCCAGACGUUAAAGAGCUGCUAAAACGUAAAGGCUGCUCUCCUCUCCUGACUAGUUUUUUAACUUUGGAAAAUAGUUGUUUUUUUUUAAUUAAAAUGUGCUAUGUUAACCUGUAAUGGGUUUAUCGUUACUUUUAAAGUGAAUUAAUAAGUAUUUUGUAUUUCUCAGUUUUAAUUUCAGAUAUUACAAAUAUUGAGUUUGUAUUUCUCAGUUUUAAUUUCAGAUAUUACAAAUAUUGACAGUUAUCCAAAUAAACAGAAAUUCUUUGGGGUUCUUUUAAAGGUAUUAAGGAGAUCCUGAGACCAAAAGCUAUGAGAACCACUGAUACAGACAGAAAGCGGCCACAUGCAUGGAACAAGAGGCACCGAACGACACUUGGAGACAAAACACCUGGCCUAGUGCUGCUCUUUGCUGAGAAGAGAAAGAUUCAAAGCUUCAUCCUGCUCCCCAGAUGCUAACCCUAGAUGUGAAUCUCUAUUUUAUUUUGUUUGAUGCUCAGAAAAUCUAAUGGAGGGCAGAUGAAGGUGAAGAACCUGUUCUCCACAAAAGAAGAUUG